rnacentral:rRNA from 1 species
GACGAACGCUGGCGGCAUGCCUAAUACAUGCAAGUCGAACGCAGUUUCGCACGGGUGAGUAACGCGUAGGUAACUUCCUCAUAGCGGGGGAUAACUAUUGGAAACGAUAGCUAAUACCGCAUACUGUGAGCUGGACCUGCGUUGUAUUUGGUAGUUGGUGAGGUAAAGGCUCACCAAGGCGACGAUACAGAGCCGACCUGAGAGGGUGAGCGGGCACACUGGGACUGAGACAAGGCUCAGACGCCCACGGGAGGGAGGAGUAGGGAAUCUUUGGCAAUGGACGGAAGGCGGAACGAGCAAAGCCGGGGGAGAGAAGAAGGGUUUCGGAUCGGAAAGCUCGGUUGUUAGAGAAGCGGUAACUAACCAGAAAGGGACGGCUAACUACGUGCCAGCAGCCGCGGUAAUUC